UGCCGAGAGGAAGCAGAGCGAUAAGCGCUGCGCGAGGACAACGACCCGACGAGAUGAAGACGCGAGACCAACACGAGCCACACUGAGGAGGUCUUGAGAAGUUGGCGGCGGACGAGGGUGAGUGGACUGUCUGCGGCCUGCACUUCGGGAGCCUGGACACACCGGAGAAAGGAGAGCCACCUAGCAUGCCAGGGCCUCACUCACCUUGUCGGGGGUGCAGAGGAAAGGCUCCUGGGCGUCCUCAGGAUCAAACAGGGCACGUCUCCGCCUGGCCGACGGCGCCUUCUUCCCGGCAGUCUUGGCCUUGGGCUCAGGCUCGUCCUCU